rnacentral:rRNA from 1 species
CGAGGGUGGGUGGCUCGCUAGGUACAUGCUAGUCGAGCGGACAGAUGGGAAGCUUGCUCCCUGAUGUUAGCGGCGGACGGGUGAGUAACACGUGGGUAACCUGCCUGUAAGACUGGGAUAACUCCGGGAAACCGGGGCUAAUACCGGAUGGUUGUUUGAACCGCAUGGUUCAAACAUAAAAGGUGGCUUCGGCUACCACUUACAGAUGGACCCGCGGCGCAUUAGCUAGUUGGUGAGGUAACGGCUCACCAAGGCAACGAUGCGUAGCCGACCUGAGAGGGUGAUCGGCCACACUGGGACUGAGACACGGCCCAGACUCCUACGGGAGGCAGCAGUAGGGAAUCUUCCGCAAUGGACGAAAGUCUGACGGAGCAACGCCGCGUGAGUGAUGAAGGUUUUCGGAUCGUAAAGCUCUGUUGUUAGGGAAGAACAAGUACCGUUCGAAUAGGGCGGUACCUUGACGGUACCUAACCAGAAAGCCACGGCUAACUACGUGCCAGCAGCCGCGGUAAUACGUAGGUGGCAAGCGUUGUCCGGAAUUAUUGGGCGUAAAGGGCUCGCAGGCGGUUUCUUAAGUCUGAUGUGAAAGCCCCCGGCUCAACCGGGGAGGGUCAUUGGAAACUGGGGAACUUGAGUGCAGAAGAGGAGAGUGGAAUUCCACGUGUAGCGGUGAAAUGCGUAGAGAUGUGGAGGAACACCAGUGGCGAAGGCGACUCUCUGGUCUGUAACUGACGCUGAGGAGCGAAAGCGUGGGGAGCGAACAGGAUUAGAUACCCUGGUAGUCCACGCCGUAAACGAUGAGUGCUAAGUGUUAGGGGGUUUCCGCCCCUUAGUGCUGCAGCUAACGCAUUAAGCACUCCGCCUGGGGAGUACGGUCGCAAGACUGAAACUCAAAGGAAUUGACGGGGGCCCGCACAAGCGGUGGAGCAUGUGGUUUAAUUCGAAGCAACGCGAAGAACCUUACCAGGUCUUGACAUCCUCUGACAAUCCUAGAGAUAGGACGUCCCCUUCGGGGGCAGAGUGACAGGUGGUGCAUGGUUGUCGUCAGCUCGUGUCGUGAGAUGUUGGGUUAAGUCCCGCAACGAGCGCAACCCUUGAUCUUAGUUGCCAGCAUUCAGUUGGGCACUCUAAGGUGACUGCCGGUGACAAACCGGAGGAAGGUGGGGAUGACGUCAAAUCAUCAUGCCCCUUAUGACCUGGGCUACACACGUGCUACAAUGGACAGAACAAAGGGCAGCGAAACCGCGAGGUUAAGCCAAUCCCACCGCGGUGAAUACGUUCCCGGGCCUUGUACACACCGCCCGUCACACCACGAGAGUUUGUAACACCCGAAGUCGGUGAGGUAACCUUUAGGAGCCAGCCUCGCUAAGUAGGUGGUCCCCUCUCCCG